AUCAGUGAAGAAAAUCUGGUGAAAGCUAAGUCAAUGACAGACACAGGAGUAAAGCGUACUCAACCUAUGUGUGAUGUUACCAACAAAAAAGCCAGAGAUUCUUGACAAUGCUGUUGGAUGUUGACUUCAAUUUUAUAAUUGCCAUCUACUGUGAUGUGAUCACUGGUGAUCAGACCUGUGUUGGUCAUAAGAUACUGAAAAAAGUCUUACAUCUAUAUUGCUACAUAUGUAUGCCAUUGAAAUAAGGCAUAUACAAUUAUCUUUUGCAAUUUGAAGAAUGGACUUUAAUAAUUCAUAAAUAUCAAGUCUAACUUUUGUGGCUGUCCCUUAUACAUUCAUGAAAUAAAUUAUUUAAAAAAUGAUUCCAAGAAAAGCUAUCAAUAGAAUUUUGUUCAAGACUAUACAUGUUUUAGUGCUGUAAUUAUUUUUUGAUUAUUUUUGUUGUUGGGUUACUUUCUCUUAAGCAUUAUCCAUGUUAUCAUAUACCCUAUAUCUCAUGUUCAUCUUUGAAAACUGUAUACUUUUGUUGUAUUGAACUAUUUUUAAUCCUGUAUAAGGAGAGAAUGUUAUGUACAAAGGGAGACGACUCUAUUUUUGUAUAAUACUAAAUUCAAAUGAAUAUUGUGCCAAAUUAAACAAUGAAAACGAA
rnacentral:lncRNA from 1 species